ensembl:lncRNA
CUCGGCCUCGGCCUCCGGGGCCGCCCCCGAGGCGGGCGCGCGGUCCUCGUUGGGCUGCGGCCCCGGGGCGGAGCCAGUGGAGGGGCUGCGCGGCUCCCGGAAGCAGCGGUCCCGGGAACCGAUUGGGGGUGGACGUGCGGUUCAAAUGGAUGCUCGCCGGGCAUGUGUUUUUCUGGGCUCCGCGACCCCGGAGCAGAAGAGCUAGGAGUUAGAACAGCGUCUCACAGGGAACUGACCUCGUUUCGGGUGUCGGGAGGUGCCUUCCCCGAGACACUGUUUAUUUAGCCAGUCCUUAGCUGGUGCUCCCGGAGAAGGCAAAAGUACUGGAGUGGGGUGCCAUCGUCUUCUCCCCCAGUCUUCCUACCCACCUUGAAUUCUCCACUCCUCUGCAUGUUAUUCUGUCAAAAUUCUCAACUGUAUAAGGAGUCAGUGUAUGUCUAUUUUUGGUUGCCUUGGUUUUUCCUUUUAGCAGGGCACCAAAUUAGGAGUCUUAGUUUAAGAACCUCAUCUCGUAGCACUCAUCUGGAAAUGUGGGAGUGAGUUCUUAGUGGGGAUCUCUGGCCAGUAGCUCCUGCAUCCUGGCAGUAACAUCAGUGAUGGCUUUGUUUUGUGUAUAAAGUUUGCA